AGGACGAACGCUGGCGGUGUGCUUCACACAUGUAAGUCGAACGGGGUAGCAAUACCUAGUGGCGGACGGGUGAGUAACACGUAGGAAUCUGCCUUCGAGUGGGGGAUAGCAAGCCGAAAGGCUUAUUAAUACCGCAUACGUCUACGGUCGGACACGGCCGUAAAUGAAAGGAGUAAUCCGCUUGAAGAGGAGCCUGCGCCCGAUUAGCUUGUUGGUAGGGUAACGGCCUACCAAGGCGAUGAUCGGUAGGUGGUCUGAGAGGACGAUCACCCACAAUGGGACUGAGACACGGCCCAUACUCCUACGGGAGGCAGCAGUGGGGAAUUUUGCGCAAUGGGGGAAACCCUGACGCAGCGACACCGCGUGAGCGAAGAAGCCUUUGGGGUGUAAAGCUCUGUCGGCUGGGAAGAAAAAAUGACUGUACCAGCAGAGGAAGCAUCGGCUAACUACGUGCCAGCAGCCGC
rnacentral:rRNA from 1 species